UACGAAGGGGGCUAGCGUUGCUCGGAAUCACUGGGCGUAAAGGGUGCGUAGGCGGGUCUUUAAGUCAGGGGUGAAAUCCUGGAGCUCAACUCCAGAACUGCCUUUGAUACUGAAGAUCUUGAGUUCGGGAGAGGUGAGUGGAACUGCGAGUGUAGAGGUGAAAUUCGUAGAUAUUCGGAAGAACACCAGUGGCGAAGGCGGCUCACUGGCCCGGUACUAACGCUGAGGUGCGAAAGCGUGGGGAGCAAACAGG
rnacentral:rRNA from 1 species